CACGUAGGGCGCAAGCGUUGUCCGGAAUUAUUGGGCGUAAAGAGCUCGUAGGCGGUUUGUCGCGUCGGGAGUGAAAACACCAGGCUUAACUUGGUGCUUGCUUUCGAUACGGGCAGACUUGAGGCAUGCAGGGGAGAACGGAAUUCCUGGUGUAGCGGUGAAAUGCGCAGAUAUCAGGAGGAACACCGGUGGCGAAGGCGGUUCUCUGGGCAUGUUCUGACGCUGAGGAGCGAAAGUGUGGGGAGCGAACAGG
rnacentral:rRNA from 1 species